UUUGGGAAACAUCCGCAGCCACAAACUUGAAUAUCAACAGGUGUUUUCUAGAAGUAGCGAUAGCUAUAAAAGAUGCGAACAUAUUUAUAAAGCAAAAACAAUCUUCUUGGUACUUGUAGCAGGAUGAUUCCAAUACCCCAAAUAAAACAAGAGCUGACUGUUAAGUUUAUUAACCUUUUCUAAUUCCCUUUUGUUUUUUUAUUUAAAAUUAUAACUGAUUAAGAUUUCUCUCGAAAUAAAUACAUACUUAACGUA